rnacentral:rRNA from 1 species
AACGAACGCUGGCGGCAUGCCUAACACAUGCAAGUCGAACGAGACCUUCGGGUCUUUGUGCCCACGGGUGCGGAACGCGACGGAACCUUCCCUUGGGUUCGGAAUAACUCCCCGAAAGGGGUACCAAUACCGGACAAUUUCUACUGACCAAUGAUGUAUUGCCUUUGAAUGGGCGAGCGUGAGAUUAGCUAUUUGGUAGCGUAAAAGUCUACCCAGGCUACGUUCCAUAGCUGGUCUGAGAGGAUGAUCAGCCACACUGGGGGUGAGACACGGCCGAGACUUCUACGAGAGGCAGCAGUGGGGAAUAUUGGACGCUGGGCGAAAGAAUGAGGGAGCAAGGUCGCGUAAGUGAGGAAGGACAUAAGGUUGUAAAGCUCUUUUGACAGGGCAGCUAAUGACAGUACCGGGCCAGAAAGCGACGGCUAACUACGUG